AUUGAACGCUGGCGGCAGGCCUAACACAUGCAAGUCGAACGGAGUGGCGGACGGGCGAGUAAUGUCAGGGCAACUGCCUGAUGGAGGGGGAUAACUACUGGAAACGGUAGAUAAUACCGCAUACUACAAGUUGAGCCUUGGUCGGAGUAGCUAGUUGGUGGGGUAAAGGCACACCAAGGCGACGAUCCGUACCUGGUCUGAGAGGAUGAUCAGUCACACGGGAACUGAGACACGGUCCAGACUCCUACGGGAGGCAGCAGUGGGGAAUAUUUGACAAUGGGCGAAAGCCUGAACCAGCCAUGCCGCGUGUGUGAAGAAGGUCUUCGGAUUGUAAAGCUCUUUAAGUUGGGAGGCGUUACCAACAGAAUAAGCACCGGCUAACUACGUGCCAGCAGCCGCGGUAAUAC
rnacentral:rRNA from 1 species